GCCCAUCUGCUACCGGCCCUAACCCAGAUGAUAGAGAGCCUACCCACAGCAUCCUUUCCUCCUUCAGACAGUUCCAGGAACAAGCCGUGAGUCAGCUGUGCAGCUGAGCUUGUAUUUAGCUAACCCUGCUGCCCUGCCUGUUCCCGGUGCAGGAUGUGCAGCUCUGCGACAGCCGCCUUCCAGAUUCAUCCACUUUUAUUGAGAGGCCUCGAGCAGAGUUUCUUCAUAUUAUUAUUUCUUCUUCUCCACUUCCUGCUCAGCAGCUUCUUUGGCCCGUUUGUCCUGGAUGCCGAAGAGCCGCACAUUGGCUCUGACCAUGCGCAGGCUGGCAAAGGCCUUGAAAUUCUUCUCCUCGGUGCUGACCUGGGCCUUCUCUUUCUUGUGAACAUUCGUUAUGGGCAUAACUGGUCCGGAGAGCUGGAUGGCCAUCUUGAGCUCUUCUGCUGGACUGUCUCCAUUCUUAGGCGCAGAAGGCUUCCUGGGGAACAGGAUGAGCUUGGAGUGGUACUCCUUUAGCCGCUGGACGUUGGCCUGCAAGGCCUCUGUGAACCUGUUGCGACCUCGGGGGUCCACUGCAAACAUGUAACAUGUAAUUUUUAUCCUUGUAUUCCCUGUAAAAUACAUUUAAGAAGGGUGUAAAGAAAAGAAAGAGUUAAAAGCAGGAUCCAAGAUUCAAAUAAAUGUAGUGUUCCUCAGUCUUAGAGAAAGAAACUGAGGAGGGAGGGAGGAUGGGUAGAUGAGUAUGGGUAUAUUCACUCCUCGUUCAGAUAGAGAAUGAUAUACACUAAUUGAUAGUAUAGAAAAGAACAUUAUGAUUUUCAUUCCUCUCUUUUGUAUCUCGUGACCAUAUAAUUUCAGUGAUCCUUGCAUGAAACGCAACAGUAAUAUGUUGGCGGAAGCUACUUGCGUGAUUCUCAUAUGGAUGAAGCCGCUAUUGUUAUGGAAUGUGGUAAAGCUUUACCUUUGGCAGUGUAGUCAUCUGUCUCUGUCUCUAGAGAGGAUAAUGACACAGUUUUUGAUGUGUUUGUUAAGAUGGAAGCUGUCUUGCAUAAGAAUUACUCUCUGCGGAAGGAGAAUGUAUGGGUUCUCCUUGUGUCUCUUUUGCACUGAUUGUGAUCCCUGUUGGUGGUGGACAAACACUUAUUAAAGACACAUACAAACACAAAAGCCAAUAAUUUAUAUUUUCAUUUUGGCUCAGUCAAAUGGCUCUCUCCUCUUUAUUCCCACCCCACCUUAUCUUACUGUGGAGAAAUCCUGUGCCUUUUAAAUUGUAUUGCUUCUGUGAGUCAUGUAUUGUAAGAUUGUAACCUCAAGGUUUGGAAGCAAUCUGCCUUGGCAGGAGGUAUAGCUGUGAAAAGAGAUUAUUCAGCAGUUUAGUGGAAACAUUUAAAAGGCAGGAGUUCGCUCAAAAUGUCUCAAUAGCAUUGGUUCCAAAAGAGAGUCUAAAGAUGCCAAAAAGUUAAUGAAUGGUAGAUUGUGUUGAAUAUUAUGUGUCUGCUUUUAAACAAAUGGGGUAUAAUGAAUGUAUUAAAUUAUGAUAAUAUAAAAAAAUGAUUGUAAAAAAACAACAGAGUAAUUGGAGUGAUUAUUCAACUUUGUUUCUCAAGAUAUUUGAGACUCAGCUCUCAGAAUUACUUAACGUUGGCCCAGAUGCCUGGGGCUCCUGGGAAUUGAAGUCCAAAACACCCGGAGGACCAAAGUUUGGAAACUGCUCUAAGGCCAUUACACUAGGGCCCCUUCUAUACUGUCCUACAUCCCAGGAUCUGAUCCCAGAUUAUCCGCUUAUUCCAGAUUAUAUGGAAGUGGAGGCUCAUAUAAUCCAAUUCAAAGCAGAUAAUCUGGGAUGAGAUCCUGGGAUAUAGGGCAGUGUAGAUCCAGCCUAGGAAAGCUCAAUCUAUUCCCAGCUAUGGUGCAACUAAAAUCAGAGAGCACAGGGAAGGGGUGGUAGUGGCUAUUACUGACACAGACUCAGUUUAUUUAUUUAUUUAUUAAUCAUUAUUAUUGUUACCCCACUUUCUCUUUCCAAAAACGAGAUUCAAAGCAGUUUACAGUAAAACCAAUACAAUACAAUUUCAAACCUCAAAAACAUACAAACAUUAAAAUAGAAUUAAAAAUUAAUGGUAUUAAAAUGUAAACAGUUAAAAUCCUUAAAAAUUUAUUCUAAAUUAUUCAGAGUUAAAACCUCAGCACCCCCUGGCCUGAUUUUAAAAACUCUUCUUUAAAAGCCUGUCUGACUAAAAAGGUUUUAGCCUGUCACUGGAAUGACAGUAGGGAGGGGGACAUUCUGACUUCCCUGGGAAGAAGGGAGUUCCAGAGUCGAGAGGCAGCCACUGAGAAAAAAGGUCAAUUGAAAUAAACCAAUAGAUUCUGCUGAGCUGCAUAGGCCGUGGGUUUGAUGCCAUACUCUUCAAUAUUUCACAGAUGAAAUCAGGGACAUAUUUCAGCAUCACCAUCAGGGAGUUGCAGUGGGUUCGAACUGUAACAGGUGACACCACCAGAGGGGAUGACACUAAAAUGACUGUCUAUAAAGCUUUUGUGCAGUGUUAAAACAUAAAUUUAUUAUUUUAAAUAAAGAUGUAGUUAUUAGACCACAAAACAGUUUGUAAAUCCAGCUUACUUGUACUGUAGCUAUAGAUCUACAAGGCUAAAACUCAGUACUACUAUUCAACCUUCUAAUGCGUAUAUGCUCCAGUCAGAACUCUCAUUUUUUUAAAUUAAAUUAGGGACUGUGUUUAUUGAAUCCAAAUUACAGAGGCUUUAGGGAUACAGGGCCGCCCCGUAUCACGAAUAGGUUUUGUCCUUAGAGAGUUCCCAUUUCUGCGGCUGGAAGCCCGGCAUGACCGGUUUCUUCUCCACCGUGGCGACUGAAGACCCUGGGCUGGCGGCCGGCAGUGCCUUCUGUGGAGAGACCAGGAUGACUGGAGGGAAGGUCUCUCUGCGUCCGUCCCGAGCGCAGUACGAAUUGGCGGCCAACUUGUGGUUGGGCCCCACGGGGAGAUGCGGAGGAGGCUGCGUCCUUUUGGAGAUCUCCAUGUAGCGCAGCUGCAGCUUUGCUUGGAGGUCUCUCCCCGAGAAAAAAUUGUGAAGCCUCCGGACGAUGCUGGUGGCCGACGCCAUCUUCACUUUUUCAGAACUCUCAUUUUUAUCCAAUUACAGUGAUACCUGCAAUCAGGAGGUUUUGUCGGCACACAUUACAACCACACACUAUUGCUUUCCUUGGUGUUUUGUUUAAUAAUCUUUUAGCUAUGAUAUUGUAGUCUGAUCUGGUACAGGAGGAGGCUCAUGAGAGUGACUGCUCUUAGUGGCACCCAGGGGUGGUUCACCCAUAAGGCAAUUUAGGCAGUUGCCUCGGGUGCCAUCGUUUGGGGGGUGCAGUUGAGGCUGCCUCCCGCCGGUUGAAGCAGCUGGAGAGCGCGCACGCCACUGCUUCCAGCGAGGUCUCUUGGAAACUAGGCAAAUGGGGUUUAUAUAUAUGUGGAAUGUCAGUCCUUGAGGCAAGUGUGAAUGUUGUAAGUGGCCACCUUGAUUAGCAUUGAAUGGCUUAGCAACUUCAAAGCCUGUCUGCUUCCUGUCUGGGGGAAUCCAUUAUUGGGAGGUGUUAGAUGGCCCUGAUUGUUUCCUGUUUGGAAUUCGUCUGUUUUCUGAGUGGUGUUCUUUAUUUAUUGUCCUGAUUUUAGAGUUUUUUUUAAUACCGAGGCCAGAUUCCCUUUCGGUGGUCUUUUAAUUGUGGAUUAUCUGCCUUGAUAUUCUGGGUUAUAUGUGUGACACCUCAGGCAGCGUGAGCACUGGGAAUCAGACACGAAGGCCAAUAAACAAUCUAAUAUCUUUAUUAAGGAAAUAAAGGAGACAACUAAAAAUAAGAGUAUAUAGUCCAGCAGUAGACCUUUCAGGAAAGGUCAAAUAUAGUCCAGUAAUAUGGAAGCAGAUGUCCAGUAUUAGAGUUCAAAGUUUUAAAUCCAAUAACCGAAACACACUCAAACCUUUAGGCUGUUUGAGUGGGGAAUUAAGGCAAGAUCUGUCCAGAGUUUCAGGCCUCAAUCCGAGGCUAGGAUGCAAGGCAAGGCAAAGUUAGUCAUGGUAAAGCUGAGUCACUGUCCAGGCUUGACAGGGAGACGAGAGGCAGCUGGUCUACUCGAGAGUAGCGCGCUGCAGAACCAGAGUCGAUGUGAAUCCCUCAACUGACACGUUGAACACCGCAAAAUCUAUUUGGUGCCCAGAACUUUUAUGGAACUUUGCUCUCCUCCUCAGCCAGGUGUCCGUGCUCUUUCCCAAGGGAAAAUGACCAAAGUCAACAACUUUGCCAGAUGCAGUCCUCCCUGAAAACUCUCAAGGGAACCAGCCUAAUUAACGCUUGCUUUCUCUGCUAAACGAGUGCUCCUUCUCGAAAUCUGUUUUUCCGCGUGCGAAGCCUCCCAAAAUAAUCAGCGGUCAAAACUAACAUUCUCUGGAGAACCGGGCUGAGAGCCAAGGCCCUUUCUUAUGAACUGUGGGCUAGAACUGUCCACAGUGGGCACCUGGAAAGGGACGGAAUCAAGCGGAAAUGGCAGAAACCCCAUCUCUUCUUCGGUCUGCUCCGUAAUAGCGAUGGGGUCAUGACUCGGGGGUCUCUGAGACACUACAAUAUGGCUGUGUGGAAGGACCCUCAGGGCUCUUCCACACAGCCAUAUAACCCAGAAUAUCAAAGCAGAAUAACCCACAAUAUCUGCUUUGAACUGGGUUAUCUGAGCCCACACUGCCCUAUAUCCCAAUUCAAUGUUUGGUGCUAAAUUCGCAAAUAUAGUAAUUCCUACAUAACAUUACCAUGUAUUGAACUGCUUUUUUGUCAAUGUGUUGUAAAACAUGAUGUUUUGGUGCUUAAUUUGUAAAAUCAUAAUAUAAUUUGAUGUUUAAUAGGAUUUUCUUUAAUCCCUCCUUAUUAUCCAACAUUUUUGCUUAUCCAACGCUUUUAUUUUUCAGUGAUUGGUUUGGGGGGGCAUCAACAUUCUGUUUGCCUACACUUGAAAAUUACCUAGGGCCGGCCCUGGUGGCACCAACCCUAGUGACACUGGUAAUAUAUGUGACCAACUGUGACGCCUCUAAGCUGCGUGAGCACUGGAAACCAACACGGAGGCCAAUAAACAAUCUAAUAUCUUUAUUAAAGCAAUAAAAGAAUCAAACAAAAAUAAGCAGAGUAUAUAGUCCAGCAAUAGUCCUUUCAGGAAAAGUCAAAUAUA
ensembl:lncRNA